UUUUUGGUUCGCAUGAAAUGGAAUUCAAAUUCUAUGGAAAACAAAUUACCAUGAAAAUAGAUUCGAUUGUUUGGUUAGUGGAAAAGAAAUUACUGGGGAUAUGAAUUCCAUUGUUUGGUUGGGUUUG